UGGGGAAUAUUGCACAAUGGGCGCAAGCCUGAUGCAGCCAUGCCGCGUGUAUGAAGAAGGCCUUCGGGUUGUAAAGUACUUUCAGCGGGGAGGAAGGCGAUAAGGUUAAUAACCUUGUCGAUUGACGUUACCCGCAGAAGAAGCACCGGCUAACUCCGUGCCAGCAGCCGCGGUAAUACGGAGGGUGCAAGCGUUAAUCGGAAUUACCGGGCGUAAAGCGCACGCAGGCGGUCUGUCAAGUCGGAUGUGAAAUCCCCGGGCUCAACCUGGGAACUGCAUUCGAAACUGGCAGGCUAGAGUCUUGUAGAGGGGGGUAGAAUUCCAGGUGUAGCGGUGAAAUGCGUAGAGAUCUGGAGGAAUACCGGUGGCGAAGGCGGCCCCCUGGACAAAGACUGACGCUCAGGUGCGAAAGCGUGGGGAGCAAACA
rnacentral:rRNA from 1 species